rnacentral:rRNA from 1 species
UACGGGGGGGGCAAGCGUUGUUCGGAAUUACUGGGCGUAAAGGGCUCGUAGGCGGCCAACUAAGUCAGACGUGAAAUCCCUCGGCUUAACCGGGGAACUGCGUCUGAUACUGGAUGGCUAGAGUUUGGGAGAGGGAUGCGGAAUUCCAGGUGUAGCGGUGAAAUGCGUAGAUAUCAGGAAGAACACCCGUGGCGAAGGCGGCUCUCUGGGACGGUACUGACGCUGAGACGCGAAAGCGUGGGGAGCGAACAGG